UGUCGUCAGCUCGUGUCGUGAGAUGUUGGUUAAGUCCCGCAACGAGCGUAACCCUCAUCCUUAGUUGCAUCAGGUAAUGCUGAGCACUUUAAGGAAACUGCUAGUGAUAAACUGGAGGAAGGUGGGGAUGAUGUCAAGUCAUCAUGGCCCUUAUGGAGUGGGCUACACACGUGCUACAAUGGUGGCUGCAAUGGGCUGCAAAGUCGCGAGGCCAAGCUAAUCCCUUAAAAGCCAUCUCAGUUCGGAUUGUACUCUGCAACUCGAGUGCAUGAAGUUGGAAUCGCUAGUAAUCGUGGAUCAGCAUGCCGCGGUGAAUACGUUCUCGGGUCUUGUACACACUGCCCGUCACGCCAUGGGAAUUGGUUUCACUCGAAGCUAAUGACCUAACCGCAAGGAGGGAGUUAUUUAAAGUGGGAUCAGUGACUGGGGUGAAGUCGUAACAAGGUAGGCGUACUACA
rnacentral:rRNA from 1 species